rnacentral:rRNA from 1 species
GCGUAGUGAUACGUGAAGCUGACGAAUACUAAUAGAUCGAGGACUUAACUA